rnacentral:rRNA from 1 species
GACGAACGCUGGCGGCGUGUUUAACACAUGCAAGUCGAACGGUAAGGCCCUUCGGGGUACACGAGUGGCGAACGGGUGAGUAACACGUGGGUGAUCUGCCCUGCACUUCGGGAUAAGCCUGGGAAACUGGGUCUAAUACCGGAUAGGACUCCUGGCCUCAUGGUGGGGGGUGGCAAGCUUUGGCGGUGUGGGAUGGGCCCGCGGCCUAUCAGCUUGUUGGUGGGGUGAUGGCCUACCAAGGCGACGACGGGUAGCCGGCCUGGGAGGGUGACCGGCCACACUGGGACAUAGAUGCGGCCCAGAGUCGUACGGGGGGAAGAAGUUGGGAAUGUUGCACCAUGGGCGCAAGCCUGUUGCAGCGACGGAGCGUGAGGGAUGACGGCCUUCGGGUUGUAGACCUCUUUCAGAACCGAAGAGGCGCAAGUGACGGUAGGUGCAGAAGAAGGACCGGCCAACUACGUGCCAGCAGCCGCAGUAA